GGGGGGGGGGGGGGGUAUCUUCACCUCCAACCCUGAAUGUUUCCUUCAUUGCCUGGGUCUUUCAUGCUAUUGAUAAAGCUAUAAGUCUGUCACUCUGUCGGCCUCUCUGACUGAGCUAGCUAAUAACAGAGGGAAGUUUUAUUAAUGUGUAAACAUCACCAUCUGCCUCUGUAGACCUCGUUCCCAUGGCAGCCAUCUAUUUGUUACAUCAUACUCAGGGUGAGAAACUUAUAUAUUGUUAUCAAUCAAUCAGACUUUAUUUGUGAAGCACUUUUUAUACUACCAUACUGUAACACAAGGUGUUGUACAUACACAAUCAAAAAACACAUUACAAAGAAAAGCCUCAAUAAAAACAUGAGCAUGUCAUGCAUUGUUAUUAUGAUCCAGGUCAUAUAACGUUGAUAAUCUGACAAAGUGUGGUCUAUUCACCACUCCCUAACUCAUAAACAGCCCCAAAAACAAUGUAAAGUAAAAAUGAGGAGAGAGUAUCUACUUUUACUGAGCAAGAGUUUCCAGUUAGCAGGGUUACAGUGACAUCCAGUCACACUGACACGUUGUUGGAGAGAUACUGUAAGUUAGGAAAAGAUAAGAUAAACUUUUUUUCAUCUCCCGCUGGGAACGAUUGCAGUGUUUGCAUAUUAUUUCACAUAUUAUACCUAAGAAAAAGUAGGUAUUUGCCAUUGUAAUAAAUACUUGGCCUUUCAAUAUUGCACAGAAAAGUAGCAUAGAGUUAUUGUCCUUUGUCCUGGUCAAACAGUCUGUAUGCAACAGGAAGGAAGGACUUUUGGUAUCUCUCUGUCACACAGCGCAAAUGAAGAAGCCUGUCGCUGAAGGAGCUGUGCUGUUACAGUGCUAUAACUCAGCUACAGGGUCCAGAGUUCAGCCCAGGACAGAGAAGUCUUCUUCACCAGUUUGUUUAGUCUGUUCCUGUCUGCAGUUGUGAUGCUGAAGCUCCAGCAGACCACUCCAUAGGAGAUGGCUGAGGCCCCCACAGAGUAAUGAAAGGACCUCAGGAGAGCUCCCUGCAAACCAAAGGACCUCAGUUUCCUCAGUAGGUGAAGUCGACUUUGGCCUUUCCUGUAAAGUGAGUUUGUGUUAUCAGUCCAGUCCAGUUUAUUGUUUAGGUGAGCAUCCAGGUACAUGUAAGAGUCCACAAUCUGUAGGAGUACACAAUCUGACAAGAGCCGACAUGAUGAUAAAAAAAGACAUUAAUAUCUACUUACGCACUUUUCAAGAAUCCACCAGAGAGAAAGGAAAACAUUUUUCUUAUGCAAAUGUUUCUUUAUUUCUCUGUAUCUGUGAUUUUUAAAUACAUUGUUUUUGCUAGGACCUAGCUGUAUCUGAUGUUGGCUAAUGAGCUGUCAAAUACGAUUUAAACUUCAAAUAUUGCUCGAAUGCUCUUCUGGUAUCAACUUUCUAUUUUUGCUUGCAGCUGCUUAAGGAGCUAUAAAAUGACCACUGUUUGUAGAUUAUCAAGGUUUACAAGAGGUUAUGAGAUCCAAACUGGAUAUUGAUCUGUGGGUCUACUGUGGGACAGGCUGCGAUGAUAAUAAGCUCAGUCUUGGACAGGUUGGGCUGAAGGUGACGUUCUCUCAUUCAUUGAGAGGUAUCAGCAAGGCAGUAUGAGAUCUGAGCCGCGACAGUUGCAUCAUCAGGUGGAAAGGACAGGAAAAGCUGUGUAUCAUCUGCAUAACAGUGAUAGGAAAAUCUGUGGUAUUGGAUGAUUUUACCAAGUGAUAAGGUGUAUAUUGAGAAAAGGAGGGGACCAAGCACUGACCCUUGAGGCACCCCUGUUGAUAAGCUACGCAUAUUGGACACUUUCCCCCUCCAUGAUACUCUAAAAGAUUUCCCUGUGAAGUAGGACUUGGACCACUCAAGGGCAAACACUAAAAAAAACAAGUGAGGAGAGUGUAGAGAGGAGGAUUCUGUGGUCUACUGUGCCAAAGGCAGCAAGAGGACUGUGGACUGACUGGCCACUUUAGCCAAACACAGUGAUUCUGGUUUAUAUGACCUGGAGCGCAGUAGUGACUCAUGAAUACACAAGUUUCCCACUCUGAGUGUCAUGUCAGGUACUUUUUGAAUAAACCUGAAUAUCUUGUAUUUAUUAAUUAAAAUUCUUUUAACACAACAGAUUCUCAAGAAACAAACAUUUUAUUGGGGACCCUUUAAAUUUCCCAUGGACCCACUCAAAUCACCACCCAUGGGUCCCAAAGACUCAUUACACUGAAAAGCAUCACUGAGUCAAUCUUCUCCCCACUGUCUCUCUGCUCCUCUUGUACCUCUUCUUCCCUUCCUUCCUUCCUUCCUUCCCUCCAACCUCCCUCUCCUCAUCUCCCAUCUUUUACCCGUAUCUCCUCUUAUCCAUUCUUCACACAUUUCUGUCUUUUCUACCCCUUUUCCUGUCUUUAUUUCUCCUCACCUCUCUUCCUACCUUUUUUUCCGUGUCCUCUUCCUUACUCUCUUGUUUUCUGUCCAUUUAUUCCCUCUCAUCUCUAUCAAUUGUCCACCUUCCCUUCACCUCUUUUUGAUCCCCCGUCUUGUCUUUCUCAACUCCUCUGCUUCCCCGUCCUUCCUAUCUUCUUACUCCUAUCUCUUAAUCUUUCAUUCUCCUCUCAUUAUGUCCUCUCCCCUUUAAUCUUUACCAUAAACCUCAUCUUUCUAUUCCUUUUUUAUACUUCUCUUCUUCUCUCACCUCUCUUUCCUUCUCUUGCUUCUUACCUCCACUCCUUUCUCUUUUCUCUCCUCUUAUCUCUCAAUCAUUUAUUUAUUUUCCUUGAUCCCUCCUCAUUUUCCUGUCAUCUCAUUUUCUUCCUCCUCUUUUUUCAUCUCUACUGUCUUCUCAUCUCCCAUAUGAACUCCUCAGUAAUAUCUUUCUCCCUUUUCACCUUUUCUUUGUUCUUCCUUUUCUUCCCAUCUCUCUUUUUUACCCUGCCUCUCUUCUUUUCCUCCUCAUUUACUUUCCUCCCUUCCUGCCUCCUCUCCUUCUUCUCUCUUUGCUCUCAUCAUAUAGUUAAUGUAAGAUAAGUUAAGGAACAUGACCACACUCAGGUAACUUAUUUUACCACCUGCAGCUUAUUAUCUCCUCCACCUGCAAUCACCUGAUGUCUAUAUAAACCUGCCUAACCCAUCAUCUUUUGUUUGUCUCAGUUCUCACGAUCAUUUGUAGCAACUCAGUCCAACUUUAAAACAGCGGUCCUUCAGUUCAUCCUUCAGUUGCAAGCUCAUCCUCAGUCUAACAGUACUUCUCCACUUGUUGUGGCUCCUACUCCGCCACUGCCAAACAAUUAGCUUCGACAUAUCUGCUCUGUUAUACCCCAGUGCAACAUCGUCCACUACUCUCCAUCGUGCUCUGACAAGUCACCACCUCCUCAAAGGGCCUAAAGCCCUAUCCAUUGUACCAAUCUCCCAGACGCCGCACAUCCAACCCACCCAGCACCCGACACUGCUCGGGUCGAUGACCAGCAGCUAUUCAUACACCGGAUCUAGGUCCUCACCAUACAUCUCUCUCAAAUUGAACAGUAGCCCACCUCCAAAGUGCCCUUAGAAAAAUAAUUCUGUAAUAAUUCUGAUAACCCAUUAGAGAACCAUGGAUUGUCACAGCAUUUAACUCUAUAUUGACAGAGUGAAGCAUACCUGUUUACAAUAACAAUAUUUUAGAAAUAAUUUAAGGUGAGAUCAAUGUCAUUAUGAGAGAAAUCCUACCCCAGUGAAAAUCAUAUAAAGCUGUGAAUGACGAGCAGUGUGUUGUCACACAAGGCAGGAAAUCCAAAUACGCUCAGUUAUCAGGUCAUCUUCUUGCUAAAAGGCCUCCUAGACGCUUACCCCUGACAGCAGACCUCCUAACCCGUUGCAUCCAAACUAUUCACACAGGAUAUACACUCACCGGCCACUUUAUUAGGUACACCUGUCCAACUGCUCGUUAACACUUAAUUUCUAAUCAGCCAAUCACAUGGCGGCAACUUAGUGCAUUUAGGCAUGUAGACAUGGUCAAGACAAUCUCCUGCAGUUCAAACCGAGCAUCAGUAUGGGGAAGAAAGGUGAUUUGAGUGACUUUGAACGUGGCAUGGUUGUUGGUGCCAGAAGGGCUGGUCUGACUAUUUCAGAAACUGCUGAUCUACUGGGAUUUUCACGCACAACCAUCUCUAGGGUUUACAGAGAAUGGUCCGAAAAAGAAAAAAUAUCCAGUGAGCGGCAGUUCUGUGGGCGGAAAUGCCUUGUUGAUGCCAGAGGUCAGAGGAGAAUGACCAGACUGGUUCGAGCUGAUAGAAAGGCAACAGUGACUCAAAUAACCACCCGUUACAACCAAGGUAGGCAGAAGAGCAUCUCUGAACACACAGUACGUCGAACUUUGAGGCAGAUGGGCUACAGCAGCAGAAGACCACGCCGGGUGCCACUCCUUUCAGCUAAGAACAGGAAACUGAGGCUACAAUUUGCACAAGCUCAUCGAAAUUGGACAAUAGAAGAUUGGAAAAACGUUGCCUGGUCUGAUGAGUCUCGAUUUCUGCUGCGACAUUCGGAUGGUAGGGUCAGAAUUUGGCGUCAACAACAUGAAAGCAUGGAUCCAUCCUGCCUUGUAUCAACGGUUCAGGCUGGUGGUGGUGGUGUCAUGGUGUGGGGAAUAUUUUCUUGGCACUCUUUGGGCCCCUUGGUACCAAUUGAGCAUCGUUGCAACGCCACAGCCUACCUGAGUAUUGUUGCUGACCAUGUCCAUCCCUUUAUGACCACAAUGUACCCAACUUCUGAUGGCUACUUUCAGCAGGAUAAGGCGCCAUGUCAUAAAGCUGGAAUCAUCUCAGACUGGUUUCUUGAACAUGACAAUGAGUUCACUGUACUCAAAUGGCCUCCACAGUCACCAGAUCUCAAUCCAAUAGAGCAUCUUUGGGAUGUGGUGGAACGGGAGAUUCGCAUCAUGGAUGUGCAGCCGACAAAUCUGCGGCAACUGUGUGAUGCCAUCAUGUCAAUAUGGACCAAGCUCUCUGAGGAAUGCUUCCAGCACCUUGUUGAAUCUAUGCCACGAAGAAUUGAGGCAGUUCUGAAGGCAAAAGGGGGUCCAACCCGUUACUAGCAUGGUGUACCUAAUAAAGUGGCCGGUGUGUGUAUAUCCCCCCUCCAUGGAGUCAACACUUGAAGCCAUGUUUCUGUUAGCCUUUUUUGGUUUUGUGGGACGUUCAGAAUUCACCUCGACAUUUUCAUCUAUGACCCUUUUCAGCACGCCAGUCUCUCAGACAGUUUCAUCCACUCCCCCAACACCAUCAGAUUUCACCUCCAAUGUAGCAAAACAGAUCAGCCCAUAGCUAAACCCUUUUCUAAGCCCCUUCGUCACACACUUAAACCGCAGACUACAUUGCCAAUCAUCCUCACAUGAUCCUCUCUUCACUUCUGAAAACAGGUACAGUAGCGACAUGGUUCUGGUUCUACCUCCACCUCCAUUUAGGAGCUGCUAAAACUGCUACUAGACAAAGAAUCCCUGACCACACAAUUAAAUCUCUCUGCCGUUGGUCUUCCCAAGCUUUCCAGGGUUAUAUCUGCAGCCACCUCAGCAACACCAAAAGAACCCAUAUCUGUUUAGUAAAAUAAACUUCUCUUGGGGAAAUGAAACCAGAGGCGAGUCAAGACUUGUCCCCACUCAGAGUCUCAACACCCCCACUCCCCAUGAUUCAGCUACCUCAACCUUCUUCAUCCCUUUCUCCCCCGACCCCAAUUUUACCCCAUACCUCGAUCCUCUCAUCCUGACCCUUAAUUAAGUCUAAACAACCUUAAGUAUUUUCAGACUGUACAAGAACUUGGUUUGUUCUGUGAGUCACACAUUUUUAAAUCAUGUAUCAUAACAAUUCAGUUUUAUGGUAUCUUCACAAACGUAACUUUACAAAAACAAAGCAUGAUCAUGUUAGUGAGCUCUCCAUCUUCAUUCCUCCUCUUCUCUCUCCUCUCAUCCCUUCCUUGUAUUUCGUUUCCUCUACUCUUCCCCAUCUCCUCUUCCUUCUUUUGCAUUUUCUCUCCUCAUAUUUUAUUUCUUCACCUUUCCUCAUUUCCUAUCCCCCAUCUCCCCCUCCUCCCUUUCCUUUUUUCUUGUUUCCAAUCACUGCUACUCUUCUUUCGUUCUCUCUCGUCCUCUCCCUUUCUCUACGUUGCCUGUCAUCUUUCCUCGUCUUCUUCCUCUUCUUCUGUCUUGAAUCUGUCCUGUCUUUUUUCUUCUUAUCACUCAUUUUGUGUCUUUUCUUGUCCUCUCAUCUUUCCUUUCUCCACACACCUCUCCUUUCUUUUGUUUCUUUCCUAUCUCACCUCCUAACUUUACUUCCAUUUCUGUCCUUUCUCCUCUUCCCUUCCUGUCAGUUUUUAUUUUUGUCUUUCGUCCAUUCUCCUCCCAUCACUUCCCAUUUCACUUUCCGAUCCUACUUUGUUUCCUUCCUCACUCCCUAUCUUCUCUCCUCCAUCAUUUCCUCGCAUACUCACAGGUUUUUGUUCUUUUUCACCCCAAACUCUGCUCACUCUGCUGCGCCGUUGUUUAGAGUGUGAUGCAUUAUCCAUCUCUAUUCCACUUUGCUCACUCCACUUCACUUCAAGUAGCUGCAACACACACUCGCUCUGACACACACACACACACACACACACUCACAAACACACACACUCAUGUGUCGACACGCAGCACCGCCAUCCCAUUAGCUUUAAUAUUUCAGCAGCGUCAUAGCAUUCGCCAGCGGCCUUGUCACCGCCUGCUCCCCGGGGACGCAGAUCCCCGGAUCAGCCGGCUCGUCCUCACCCUCCGACAUCAGCGGUGGGACAGGGGAGCACUCAGCUGACCUCCAGUGCUGUCCCCAACACUCCCAGGGGUCCCCCAAAUACACCCCCACCAACUCCACCCAUCCCACCUCCGCUGCUGCUACUGCUACUGCUGCUCCCACCUCGAGGGAGGAGCAGGAAGAGGAGAAAAGAGAGCUGAAAGGAGAGGAAAGUGGCGGAAUGCAGAGAAGUCCGUGGGAGGGGGCGAGGGAAUGAAAGUAAGAUGAGCAGAGAGGUUGUGUGGGUGGGCUAUGGGGUGCUGAUUAGGCCCUUGGUUUGAAGUGUUCAGCAGCUUACCCUCGUGGAUGAGCACACACACACACACACACACACACACACACACAUACACACACAUACCCACACUCACACACACACAUUGUCUCCCCCUGUCUUUAUUACUCAUUCAGUGUUACAAAGGCUUCAGAAGAGUACGGGGAGGACAGUGCGCCACGUUUACACAUUCUGUUAGAAACUGGCUGCUCUUUGAGGUGGAAUAUUUCCCUUUUGUUCUGAAAUUCAUGCCUGUGAUCAAUUGGAUGGAGAGGUCUCCUGCAUAAUAGAGCUGCGUGUGUGUAUGUGUGUGUGUCUGGUUUUAUCUGUGUGUGUCCAUCUGUGUGUGAAGAAUCAGACAGAGCUCUCUGAUACGGCUGGCAGAAAAGUGUCUUUGUGCUCACCUGAGGCAUAAAAAACCUCAUCACAGCAUGCAGGGAUCUUUGUGCAGGGACUACACAAUGCUCCCACUCCGCUCUGUUCAUUUCAUACCCAGCGCUGUCCGAACAGAGGCUGUGAAAGCGUGAGGCCACACAAAUCCACACACACUCACACAGCACAGGCUAUGUCCUGUGAGUUAUAACUCAUGCAUGAUCACUAAAUGGAAACAUUUGUUAUCCCCGCAACAAUACAGCCGGAGGAGCUGAAAAUUUUAUGGCUCCCUCGGUCCCCCCAACUAAAGCCCCACCCAGACGCACACACACACACACACACACACACAAACACAAACACACACAUAUUAUAACACAAACGCAGAUGCUGCCACACGCUGGAGCUCACAGGUCAUCCUCCUGUGAAUAAAGUCCCAAAGAGGAUGCGCCGAGGCAUAAACAACCGCACAACAACUCCUUCCUCAAACCUCCAACC